rnacentral:ribozyme from 1 species
GUCAGUAUGUUCUGUAAAAGGGGUGGAUCCUACGUCCUUAGGAGGCUACUAUAGGCUCUCCUUCUCAACUCCUACUCAAAACGUCCACGACGUGCAGAACGGUAACUUGUCGCCUAGAUAUCCUCGGCAAGGCUGAAUUGAGAGAU